rnacentral:rRNA from 1 species
ACACAUGCAGUCGAGCGGAUGAAGAGAGCUUGCUCUCUGAUUCAGCGGCGGACGGGUGAGUAAUGCCUAGGAAUCUGCCUGAUAGUGGGGGACAACGUUUCGAAAGGAACGCUAAUACCGCAUACGUCCUACGGGAGAAAGCAGGGGACCUUCGGGCCUUGCGCUAUCAGAUGAGCCUAGGUCGGAUUAGCUAGUUGGUGAGGUAACGGCUCACCAAGGCGACGAUCCGUAACUGGUCUGAGAGGAUGAUCAGUCACACUGGAACUGAGACACGGUCCAGACUCCUACGGGAGGCAGCAGUGGGGAAUAUUGGACAAUGGGCGAAACG